CCUUCGGGAGCUGACGAGUGGCGGACGGGUGAGUAAUGCUUGGGAAUCUGGCUUAUGGAGGGGGAUAACUACUGGAAACGGUAGCUAAUACCGCGUAAUCUCUUAGGAGUAAAGGGUGGGACUUUCGGGCCACCUGCCAUAAGAUGAGCCCAAGUGGGAUUAGGUAGUUGGUGGGGUAAAGGCCUACCAAGCCGACGAUCUCUAGCUGGUCUGAGAGGAUGGCCAGCCACACUGGAACUGAGACACGGUCCAGACUCCUACGGGAGGCAGCAGUGGGGAAUAUUGCACAAUGGGGGGAACCCUGAUGCAGCCAUGCCGGGUGAAUGAAGAAGGCCUUCGGGUUGUAAAGUUCCUUUCGGUGAUGAGGAAGGCAGGCUUGUUAAUAGCAAGUUUGAUUGACGUUAGUCACAGAAGAAGCGCCGGCUAACUCCGUGCCAGCAGCCGCGGUAAUACGGAGGGUGCGAGCGUUAAUCGGAAUAACUGGGCGUAAAGGGCACGCAGGCGGAUUGUUAAGUGAGAUGUGAAAGCCCCGAGCUCAACUUGGGAAUUGCAUUUCAGACUGGCAGUCUAGAGUAUUUUAGGGAGGGGUAGAAUUCCACGUGUAGCGGUGAAAUGGGUAGAGAUGUGGAGGAAUACCGAAGGCGAAGGCAGCCCCUUGGGAAUAUACUGACGCUCAUGUGCGAAAGCGUGGGGAGCAAACAGGAUUAGAUACCCUGGUAGUCCACGCUGUAAACGAUGUUGAUUUGGGGAUUGGGCUUUAAGCUUGGUGCCCGUAGCUAACGUGAUAAAUCAACCGCCUGGGGAGUACGGCCGCCAAGGUUAAAACUCAAAUGAAUUGACGGGGGCCCGCACAAGCGGUGGAGCAUGUGGUUUAAUUCGAUGCAACGCGAAGAACCUUACCUACCCUUGACAUCCAUGGAAUCCA
rnacentral:rRNA from 1 species